ACCAAAGAAGGCUCUGAUUUCUUUGUUGUCAGAAAGGAAGAGCUGGAAGAGAACAGAGAGGUCAUUCCAACCCUUCAUUUUGCUGAGACACUGCAUGGCUUAGCCAGGAUCACAGAGCUAGUUAAUAGCAGGGUGGCUAUACUUCCUCUCUUGCUGAGAUGACUUGGGAAUCUGCAGAGAAAGGAGACUUUGCAGGUGUGAGGCCAAAGAACCUUUUCCCAGAGUCCUCCUUCGAAACUGUUUGGUGCUUCUCACCUGUAUUGUUCCUGUCUCAUGGCCCACAAGUACAAACUGGCAAGUAUGGGUCAAUUCGGGUGGAUGAUCAUCUUAGAGUACAAGUAUACAGUACAAGACCAGGAAAAGAACUAAGGCCAAAAAAAAAAGAAGAAGAAGAAGAAGAAGAAGAAGAAGAAGAAGAAGAAGAAGAAGAAGAAGAAGUAAAGUCCCUGAUGCUGUGGCCAUUGGGUCAUAUAGAGGUCUGUAUCUAUCUUAUAUUAAAGAAGACUUCAUGUGUAUACUGCUUUUCUUGUGAGAGAUCUAUCUUUUUCCUUUGAAUGUGGGAAGUCCAUGUAACUGCUUUAACCAAUAAAAUAAUAGUAGAUGUACUACUAUGCCAAUUUCUGAGCCAAAGCCUUGAGAGUCAGCUUCCACUUCCUGACACUUAGAACAUUCUUUUAGGGAACCACCAGCCUCCAUACAAGAGUUCUAGCUUCUCUGACACUGUCAUGUGAGAGGGGCCUUGUGUGGGAACUUGUGUUGACAGAUCCAGCUAAGCCCACUCUUUCUGCCAUCCCCCUCAAGCCUCGUUACAGUGAAGCUGUU